CAUAGCAGUUCGUACCUUUUGCAUCAUGGUCCAGCAAGUUCAACCAAGCAAAACGAAAAUUCUAGUUUGACCCCCCGAAACUAAGCGAGCUACUUCAAAACAGCUUAGAGAGCUAACCCGUCUCUGUGGCAAUAGAGUGGGAAGAUUUUCUAGUAGCGGUGACAAACCUACCGAGCUUAGAGAUAGCUGGUUACUCAGGAAAAGAGUCUCAGCUCUGCCUUAAGGACCCCCCCCGCCCCAAACAAACAGGACUUAAGAGUUACUCAAUUAAGGUACAGCUUAUUUGAAACAGGAAACAACCUAAACGACAGGGUAAACUAAAUCUUUAUACCUUUAGUGGGCCUAAAAGCAGCCACCUUAAAAAGCGUCAAAGCUUAAUGUAUAUUUUUCCCAAUCCCCUUAAUAACUACGAACCCCCCACCCCUACUGAGAGAUCCCAUAACCGUAUGGUAAACACUAUGCUAGGACUAGUAACAAGAAUAUAAAAUUCUCCGAAACCUAAACAUAAGCCAGAAAGGACGCCCCACUGGCAGUUAACGAAAAUGAACUAGUUACAAUAACACACCAAGAAAAUCUUGUAGCCCACCCCCGUUAACCUUACACUAGAGCGUUUCCGGAAAGAUUAACAGGGCGAAAAGGAACUCGGCAAAUUUCAACCCCGCCUGUUUACCAAAAACAUCGCUUCUCGACACCCAUGAGAGGUCUAGCCUGCCCAGUGACAAAAUUCAACGGCCGCGGUACCCUAACCGUGCAAAGGUAGCACAAUCACUUGUUCUCUAAAUAAGGACUUGUAUCAACGGCACCACGAGGGUUGCACUGUCUCCUCCCCCCAAUCAGUGAAACUGAUCUCCCCGUGAAAAAGCGAGGAUACAACUAUAAGACGAGAAGACCCCAUGGAGCUUUAAGCCAAACAGCAACUCAGCCUCACAAUUCUCACAAUACGCUGAGACAUGCAUGUCGGCCUUAGGUUGGGGCGACCGCGGAGCAAAAACUAGCCUCCACGACGUAAAGAACCCAAUCUUUAUCCCAGAGCCACCCCUCCAAGAAUUAGUAUACUAACGGACAAUGACCCGACUAUCGAUCAACGAACCAAGUUACCCUGGGGAUAACAGCGCAAUCUACUUCAAGAGCCCCUAUCGACAAGUAGGCUUACGACCUCGAUGUUGGAUCAGGUACCCCA
rnacentral:misc_RNA from 1 species